rnacentral:tRNA from 1 species
GGGAAAGUAGCUCAGUGGUAGAGAGCUUGCCUUGCAUGCAUGAGAACCUGGGUUCAAUUCCUCAUCACCA